rnacentral:lncRNA from 1 species
UUUAAUUAAAAAUAUUACUAUUUAUUGCAUACCUACUAUGUGUAAUGAGCUUCCUACUCAUUAUUCACAAUAUAACAUAGCACAUCAUUCCACAAGAUCAAUUUUACCUGAUCUUAUAUAACAUAAUAUUUUCAUAAACUUUACAAAAAAAAAAAAAAAACACUACAAAUUUCUCAUAUGCUAGUAAAUUGGGGGCUGGAUUUUUUGACUUUCAUAAGUUUGAUUCCUUCCUUAGUUAGAA